AACGAACGCUGGCGGCAUGCCUAACACAUGCAAGUCGAACGAGACCUUCGGGCUUAGUGGUGCACGGGUGGGUAACGCGGGGGAACCUGCCCAGAGGUUCGGAUUAACUCCCGGGAAGGGGUGCUAAUACGGGAUAAAAUAUUGGAUCCAAAGAUUUGGCGCCUUUGGGUGGGCCUGCGUUGCAUUGGCAUGUUGGUAGCGUAAAAGGCUCCAACGGGGACGAUCCAUAGCUGGGCUGUGAGGAUGGUAAGCCACACUGGGACGGGGACACGGCCCGGACUCCUAGGGAAUGCAGGAGUGGCGAAUAUUGCACAGUGGGGGAAGGCCUGAUCCAGCUAUGCCGCGAGAGUGAUGAAGGCCUUAGGGUUGUAAAGCUCUUUUACCCGGGAUGAUAAUGACAUUACCGAGAGAAUAAGCUCCGGCUAACUCCGUG
rnacentral:rRNA from 1 species